rnacentral:misc_RNA from 1 species
CCGUGUAACAGAUAGAAGCUUCCUGGCCGUUGCGUGAGGAGGCGAUUCGCUCUUCGCUCUCGUCUCUCUUCUCCCUUCUCAACCGACUUCGCGCUUUGCUCUACUUGUGUGAAAAAACGGAUAACAAUGAAAACCUUUUGUCCGCUACCGUUUAUUGUUUUACAUUUACACGGAAUCGUUCGGGAUUUUUAAAACGAGUGUGACAUAACAACAGUCGAACAACUUUGCUGAAUGGAAGUGAAAGGAGUUUUAAGUAUUUGAGAAAAUUUUUUACACUAAUCGACUUUGGUGUCGCGCCGUAUGGAUGCUUUUCGACGGAAUGUUCAAUUAUGUGACACAUUUCUGGGAUAUCUACACCGAUCGUGUUGAUGUGUCUAUGCAGAGAGUGUGACAAACAUAGACAUCUAUAUAUAUAUUAUAGAUAUAAAUGCGUAGAAAAGCGUUCACGAAGUAUUUCAUUCGAGUUUCCUAUCGGCGGCGUGAGGAGGAAGGCUUUCAUGGAAACCUGCCAGUCGCCUGCAAGUGCAUCAUGGGUAAUACUGACGUCACUACCAGCCAAACAAAAGAUGGCGAAGAAAGUGUGCGAAUGAAUUGCUAUGCUGCCAAUACCCGUUCUUCCUCGACUUCGUCUCAAUGCCGCUCAGUUCGUCCGAAACAAGACGACGACAACGACAACAACAAAACGACGAAGUACUGUCACUACAAUCGCUGUUGUCUGCUCAGCUCCGGCGGCCAAGUUGCUCUCACACCGACCAGUAACAACAGUCCCAGAGCCGUCCCUACUACAACCACAACCGCUACAACAACAUCAAUAUCAACAACAACACCAUCGUCCACGCCAGCAACAGCAUUCGGCAGUGGUGGUGGCGGAGGCGGAGGCGGUGGCUGCGGCGGAGGAGUCCCUUCUUCUUCUUCUCCUUCUUCUUCUCCUUCUUCACCACCUUCAACUCGUCGCCGUCGACGGAGGCGGCUCUGCCUUGGCCGCCGCGGCGGUGGCGGCCCUGCUUCUGACCCUUCUCUCGGCUGUCAUUCUGCAGAAGGCAAAAAGGAGCAGGUCCCUACCUCUGCGAAUCAAUGUUAUCCGAAGAAGCGUUCUGCCAUGGUGAGAAGCCGGUCCUGUUGUUGUUGUCAAUGUGACAUCGUCGGCUUCGCCAUACAAUGCGACCAGUGCAUCGAGAUAGAUCUUUGUUUACAGUGUUUCUCCCUUGGUGCUGAAGUCGGUCCUCAUCGCCGGGAUCACAGUUACCGAAUAUUGAGUGAUAUGAUUGGGCCUUUCAACAUCCAAAAGCCAUGGACUUUAGUUGAAGAAACUAUGUUGCUGGAUGCUGUGGAACAAUAUGGAUUUGGUAAUUGGCAUGAUGUUGCUAACCAUGUUGAAACUAGGAAUGCCUCAGAGUGUCAAGAACAUUAUGCUUCAUUUUAUCUAUUUGGUAGCAUUGGGAAAGCUGUAUCAAUUCCCUGUUGCAGUGAUUUUGGCCUCGACCUUCCUUCAACUGAAGAAUCAGUAUCAAAUCAUAAGUUCAACAACACAGCAAAUAACAAUAAUGAAUCUGAAACUUGUUCUGUGAAUCAUAAAAAAGUACUGAACAAUUCAAUAAAAAAAGAGGAACCAGACUGUGGAGUGGUACCUGCUGAGAAGAACCAUGUCAAGCGACGUAGCCUUCGUUACGUACUUUUCAGGGAUGAUUUUGUAUAUGACAAGGAUGCUGAAUCUUUGAUUAGUUCAUUAUCUGUGGAGAUAGAUGAUGAAGAUAUUGAUAUAGCAUUCAAACUCAGUCAGGUGGACACCUAUCGCCUUCGGUUACAGGAACGAGAACACAGGAAAAGGUUGGCUCGUGACUAUGGCUUAUUUCAGAUAAAUGGGGGCAACAAAUUUAAGUCCCAGUAUGCUAAGAAAAAAACUACAAAACUUGAUAGAGAGUUUCAAGAAAAAUUACGUGUGUUUGCAAAAUUUCACACAUUCCAGGAACAUGUGCAGUAUUAUGAAAGUUUAGCGCGUGAAAGAGACUUAAAAAGUCGAAUUCGGGAAUUAUUCCGGUUCCGAAAGAAUGGGUUGAUGACUUUCGCAGAAGUUUUAGUGUUUAAAAAUAAGAAAUAUAAAAGAGAUAGAAGAAAAAAUAACAACAAACGACUGCCGUUUACAGGAAGGAGGGGAAUCAAUGGCUUCCGGAGAACUAAACGAAAACUUAGAUUUACAAGGAAAAGAACCCGGCGGAAAAUAUGAUAUUUUCUAUUUAAUUAGAAGGAAACUGGCAGCUGUUUUUUGCAUGAAGCAUUUCCUAAAAGAAAUAACAGGUUUAUCUUUGACCGCAGCAUCUCUGAUCAAUCACAGUAUUACUUGAGUGAUGAUGGCCUCAUCGACUGAACUGUUCCUGAUUGCUGAGAUUGUUUUGUUGUUGUUCUUCUGCUGCAGAGAAAGCACCAUUGUUGACUCUGAAGUGUUUCAUUUCACUGUCUCAUGGGAACUGCAAAGCAUUGCCAUUGGUGUGUGAUGGAGAGAAUCAACAGCAAACCUUUCUGCUGCUGCACUGCUGCUCAACUAGAAGUGUUGAACGUGUAACAUAACAGGUCUGGUCAAGGCUGGCUCCACGGUGACAACUGGGAGUGUUAAUAGUCUUCUGUUAUAGAACACAAGCCAGUUGAACUGAACGGGUGGGAGGGCGGGGUGGAGUGCUCUUUCCCCACCAUACACACUCACACCCCUUUCCUACCUACAACACAUCUGGAUGUGCUGAUAAGACUGCCGUAACAGGUUUUUGCUUGAGCAAAGUCAAGCAGAACCAUAGCUGCUGUCACAGCAACUACCAACAAUUACAGACAGUUUGCUGUGCUUGGUCUGUAACCCAAUAUCAAAACCUGAUCAAACAGACCUAUCGUUGAAAACAUUCCAGUUUUGAAUAUCUAGUCUUUAUUUUAGAUAUAAUGCAUACAGUGUUAUUUUAUAAGUCCUUUCUUUUUUUUGUUUAAGAUAGCAAGGUGUGAUUUGAGGGGUGUUUGGUUGUUAAAUCUAACAGCUUACACAUUUAUAUAGAAACUCUUUCAUUGAUUCACUAGUGCCACAAAUCUCAAAUUGUUUCAUGUCUCCCGGGUGCUAAAAGUAAUCUGUUUACCUCUUUUGUUGAUUCAUUCUGUGUUAUAAUCUUCUUGUCCAGGUAGCCAACCACUGGAAUCAACUAAUCAUUUGUGCUCAUAAAUGAGUAUAGAUUGAGGGCCUUGUGCACCAGGGUAAUGCCAGGAUGGAAGUGCAAAUGGGAUGCUCAUUUUGUUAUGAUCAUCAAUGCUCUAAAGAUAAUUGGAGGACCAUAACUCUCUCAAGCUCCAUCAUUGCUCAUCCUUAAAUAAAUCCAGAUGUUAUCUUUAUAUAUUUGAUGCCAUAUCAAUUUUCUGUGCUAAUUUAAAGCUCCAACAGAUAGAGUUUUAAAUUAGAAUACUGCUGUCCUGGCAACCCCUGAACCCAAGUUCAUAACAAUUUUUGAAAUUCUUUAUUAAGAACAGUCCUGGUUGAGUUGGAGAAGUUCUAAACACACAUUUUGAGCCUGAAGGUUUAGGGACUCAAAAUUGUAGCUAUUCAUAGGUUUCCCUUCUUAGUUGCUAUAAAUAAACCAAAUCUUUGAUCCAACAAGACCUAGCAAAGAAGCAAGUAAGAUGGGUUGUAAGUCUAUUUUAAUACUGCCAGCAUAUUUUCUUUGGAAGUGCAUUGAUUUGUAACCUCUUCAAUAGCUCUUCCCUUAUAACCCGAGCUGACUGACUUAGUUAUGGGUCUAUGGUGACAGUCCCCUUUUUGAACCUUUUACAUAAGAAGCUAUCCUACCAUUUUGAUGGAAUGAAAACUUCAUCCAAAAUACGUUGAGUUGUUUCCCCUUUGGUGAGGUUAGGCAGGUCAGCUGAAGACUGGCAUUUCCUCAAGUCUUUGAUUGUAUGUAAGGCUUUGGAAAUAUAUCAAGGCAAUUAGAAAUUUGAAAUUUUCUAUCACCCAAAACCUAGGGACAUUAUCAUUGAGUAAUCGAAUUAUCAUGUCAUCAUAUUUGAUAUUAUUUGUUAUUAGUUUUUUUUUUUUUUUUUUUUUUUUUUUUGGCAGGUGGUUUCUCUCACAUACACACCUCAGAAUUGUCAUGAGAGAUACCUAUCAAGUCUAACAAGGGCUUCCCCCCCCCCCAACCAUUCAGUAAACAACUUGGAGCCUUUUCUUUAGUGAUAUACCUGCCGGAAGUAGCAGUCAUAUCUCUUUCAAAUCAUACCCUACUGUCUUUAAAAAAAAAAGGAAAAAAACCGGAGGGACACAUUGGAGAAUGUAGUCCUAGAUACACUUGGUGGGGUGGGGGAAUUAGGUUUUCAAACCUGGAGAGUCUUUGAUCAUAGGUCAACUCAGUCGGGGCUGACUGAAGGCUACACAUAACAGGUACAAAUGCUGUCUGCUGGACCAAGGGGCCACUGCCAUAACAACAAACAACUGGAUGUACCGUGACAGUCUGCUAUAACUACUUAUCUGUUUGGUGGUGGUGGUCAGCUGUCCUACUCCCCUCUUUCUUGCAUGGUUCUGUCAGGGCUAUGCCACAACAACAACCAAACAUGUUAACAAUAUUGCUCUCAACCCCACCUCACUUCUCUUCCAUCCCUCUUCUCCUUUUUAUCUCCUAUUUUCCUCCUUUUCAAUAUAUAUAUAUAUAUAUAUAUAUUAGUUAUUGUCUUUAUUACUAUCCGACUGUUUCUCUUUUCUCUCUUUUUAUUUUACUUCCAACUCCGUUUUCUCUUUGUGUUUCUUUACCCACUUCUUUGUCCCAUCUCUCUUCCCCUCAACCUUUUGUCAUCUCUCUUCCACUUUUUUUUUUUCACUGCCCUCUCUUUCUCAUAACAGUUACUGCUGUUGGUUGUGACUUUUAAAACUUUCUGGAGACACUGUGGAAAUUUUGGAUAAACCAAUGUACAUAAAUUAUUUACUUCAGUGAAGUUACCACUUGAUGGGUGAAAGCCUGUUAGUCUGACAUAGUGUAUGUACCACACAAUGAAUGUUAGUGUAUGUAAGCAUUGAUGUAAAUUUAGGAGAGUGUGUAAUAUAGUUUUCAUCUUUUCCUUUUUUCACAUCACUCAUUUAUUGCUACUCACAAGCAAUAACUUUAUUUAUUGACUUAACUCUUUAUAAACUGCAAAUUUAUAUCUGUUGCAAAAGCUGUUACCUUAUAAGGCUUUCAAUUAAAACCACAAGUUAUUACAAAAAAAAAUUCAAUAAAAUAAAAAUAACAACUACAACAACAAAAAAUGCAAGGUCUUUUAAUAACUAUA